CGCCAUGGGAAAAAACCCUGUCCGUCUCUGACACGGGGCCUCUGGUUUCGGAUCGGAUUAGGUUUCUCGAACAAACCCCAAUCGAUUGUGGCGAGUUGCGCCAUGGCGACGAUCGCGUUCCGACUCCUCUCUCGCCGGACUCUCACCAGCGCCAUAGGCAAGGCCGCCGAGCACCUUCCUCAGGGUCGUUGGUCGUGGCGGUCCUAUCUGA